GGAGCUGGUGCUUCGCCCGAGACCCAGCGCCCAGGCGUGUCGCCCCGAGAGGAGCCGCGCGAAGGUCACCCCGCGCCCGCCGCCCGCCGCCCGCCGCCUCCGUGGGUCCGUUUGCCAGUCAGCCCGUGCGUCCGAGCCCCUCGCGCCCCGCCGCAGCCCCGGCCAACCGAGCGCCAUGAACCAGAUAGAGCCCGGCGUGCAGUACAACUACGUGUACGACGAGGAUGAGUACAUGAUCCAGGAGGAGGAGUGGGACCGCGACCUGCUCCUGGACCCAGCCUGGGAGAAGCAGCAGAGGAAGACCUUCACUGCCUGGUGUAACUCCCACCUAAGGAAAGCCGGCACCCAGAUUGAGAACAUCGAGGAAGACUUCAGGAAUGGCCUUAAGCUCAUGCUGCUUUUGGAAGUCAUCUCAGGGGAAAGGCUGCCCAAACCUGACCGGGGAAAAAUGCGGUUCCACAAAAUUGCUAAUGUCAACAAAGCUUUGGAUUACAUAGCCAGCAAAGGGGUGAAACUGGUGUCCAUUGGCGCUGAAGAAAUUGUUGAUGGCAACGUGAAAAUGACCCUGGGUAUGAUCUGGACCAUCAUCCUUCGCUUUGCUAUUCAGGAUAUUUCGGUUGAAGAAACAUCUGCCAAAGAAGGUCUGCUGCUUUGGUGUCAGAGGAAAACUGCUCCUUAUAGAAAUGUGAACAUUCAGAACUUCCAUACUAGCUGGAAAGAUGGCCUUGGACUCUGUGCCCUCAUCCACCGACACCGGCCUGACCUCAUUGACUACUCAAAGCUUAACAAGGAUGACCCCAUAGGAAAUAUUAACCUGGCCAUGGAAAUCGCUGAGAAGCACCUGGAUAUUCCUAAAAUGUUGGAUGCUGAAGAUUUAGUAUACACUGCCAGACCCGAUGAAAGAGCCAUAAUGACUUAUGUUUCCUGUUACUAUCAUGCUUUUGCUGGUGCACAGAAGACAUCGUGAACACCCCUAAACCCGAUGAAAGAGCCAUCAUGACGUACGUCUCUUGCUUCUACCACGCUUUUGCGGGCGCGGAGCAGGUUAGACAAAGUCUUAAAGCACACUCAGCUCUGUGGAAGGAUCCCCCUCCAGAAAGUUCUACAUGUUCAUAUCAGGAGAUGAGGAGGUCUUCAGUGAAUUCAAGUGCAAUGGCCGAGACAGCGGCUAACAGGAUAUGUAAGGUUCUUGCUGUGAAUCAAGAGAAUGAGAGGCUGAUGGAAGAAUAUGAGAGGCUAGCGAGUGAGCUUUUGGAAUGGAUUCGUCGCACGAUCCCCUGGCUGGAGAACCGGACUCCCGAGAAGACCAUGCAAGCCAUGCAGAAGAAGCUGGAGGACUUCCGGGAUUACCGCCGGAAGCACAAGCCACCCAAGGUGCAGGAGAAAUGCCAGCUGGAGAUCAACUUCAACACGCUGCAGACCAAGCUGCGGAUCAGCAACCGUCCUGCCUUCAUGCCCUCCGAGGGCAAGAUGGUGUCGGAUAUUGCUGGUGCCUGGCAGAGGCUGGAGCAGGCUGAGAAGGGUUACGAGGAGUGGUUGCUCAAUGAGAUUCGGAGACUGGAGCGCUUGGAACACCUGGCUGAGAAGUUCAGGCAGAAGGCCUCAACGCACGAGACUUGGGCUUAUGGCAAAGAGCAGAUCUUGCUGCAGAAGGAUUACGAGUCGGCGUCGCUGACAGAGGUGCGGGCUCUGCUGCGGAAGCACGAGGCGUUCGAGAGCGACCUGGCAGCGCACCAGGACCGCGUGGAGCAGAUCGCAGCCAUCGCGCAGGAGCUCAAUGAACUGGACUAUCACGACGCUGUGAAUGUCAAUGAUCGGUGCCAGAAAAUUUGUGACCAGUGGGACCGACUGGGAACGCUUACUCAGAAGAGGAGAGAAGCCCUAGAGAGAAUGGAGAAAUUGCUAGAAACCAUUGAUCAGCUUCACCUGGAGUUUGCCAAGAGGGCUGCUCCUUUCAACAAUUGGAUGGAGGGCGCUAUGGAGGAUCUGCAAGAUAUGUUCAUUGUCCACAGCAUUGAGGAGAUCCAGAGUCUGAUCACUGCGCAUGAGCAGUUCAAGGCCACGCUGCCCGAGGCGGACGGAGAGCGGCAGUCCAUCAUGGCCAUCCAGAACGAGGUGGAGAAGGUGAUUCAGAGCUACAACAUCAGAAUCAGCUCAAGCAACCCGUACAGCACUGUCACCAUGGAUGAGCUCCGGACCAAGUGGGACAAGGUGAAGCAACUCGUGCCCAUCCGCGAUCAAUCCCUGCAGGAGGAGCUGGCUCGCCAGCAUGCUAACGAGCGUCUGAGGCGCCAGUUUGCUGCCCAAGCCAAUGCCAUUGGGCCCUGGAUCCAGAACAAGAUGGAGGAGAUUGCCCGGAGCUCCAUCCAGAUCACAGGAGCCCUGGAAGACCAGAUGAACCAGCUGAAGCAGUAUGAGCACAACAUCAUCAACUAUAAGAACAACAUCGACAAGCUGGAGGGAGACCAUCAGCUCAUCCAGGAGGCCCUUGUCUUUGACAACAAGCACACGAACUACACGAUGGAGCACAUUCGUGUUGGAUGGGAGCUGCUGCUGACAACCAUCGCCAGAACCAUCAAUGAGGUGGAGACUCAGAUCCUGACGAGAGAUGCGAAGGGCAUCACCCAGGAGCAGAUGAAUGAGUUCAGAGCCUCCUUCAACCACUUUGACAGGAGGAAGAAUGGCCUGAUGGAUCAUGAGGAUUUCAGAGCCUGCCUGAUUUCCAUGGGUUAUGACCUGGGUGAAGCCGAAUUUGCCCGCAUUAUGACCCUGGUAGAUCCCAACGGGCAAGGCACCGUCACCUUCCAAUCCUUCAUCGACUUCAUGACUAGAGAGACGGCUGACACCGACACUGCCGAGCAGGUCAUCGCCUCCUUCCGGAUCCUGGCUUCUGAUAAGCCAUACAUCCUGGCGGAGGAGCUGCGUCGGGAGCUGCCCCCGGAUCAGGCCCAGUACUGCAUCAAGAGGAUGCCCGCCUACUCGGGCCCAGGCAGUGUGCCUGGUGCACUGGAUUACGCUGCGUUCUCUUCCGCACUCUACGGGGAGAGCGAUCUGUGAUGCUGAGCUUCUGUAAUCACUCAUCCCAUCAGAAUGCAAUAAAAGCGGAAGUCACAGUUUGUUUCCUGGAAACUUUGACAAGCUUUAUUAAGUUGAGAGAGAGAGAGGGGAAAAAAAAAAGCCUUUCGUAGUUCAGUAAUUGCCAGCAAUAUAACACGGCUAAAAUGAAGUUUUUACAGUAUAUGACAUAGUGCGCUUCAUAAAUAGGUUUAUUUCUGAGUUUUUAGCAAAAUGUAAUGAAAUAUCAGGUUGAUUUCUUUGAUUAAACAGAACAAAUUACUUGAGUAAUAGGAAAUUAGGAGGAUCUAGGGACAGAAGGAAAGUGAAAAAUGUGAAAAUACAAAAUACCCAAGAUUUAAGACCGGGGGGAAAAAACCACAAAUUGGUAAAUAAAGGUUUGCUAUUUGUAAAAAAUUUCAUUUAUCUCUAAUAUGCUUAUGUGAUUGCCCCUAGGGGAGUAUAUUUGGGAUUCUAAUGUUUUAUUUUCAUGCUUAUCCAAAGAUUACUAUUGUAUCUUCAAAUGAAUUUAAUAUUGUGAGAUGGAACUGCCGGGGAUUAAAAAGACUACCCAAAAGAUUUUUGGCACUUACAAUUUUUAAAAUAGUUUAUGUCAUCUCUUCAUUAUUUAGGGCUGGAUGGUCAACUCAGUCAGUGAUUUUUUGAUGCUUCUCUUAUCCUCCAGAAUAGAGACCUAAGGACACGUGGAAGUCAGUUUAAUUGCCAGAGAGAAGGAUGCAAUCACUAGGUAAAAUGAGGUUUUUAGGAUUAUUUAUUGAUUCCAGGUUCCCAUGCUUUUUGUUAGAGCUUAUUAGUACAGGUUCUCAAGAGAUGACCACAUAAAAGUGCUCUGUUUAUAAAUAAGCAGGUUUCUGUAGUACUGACUGGUUCAUCACAAGGCAAGUCAGAAACCAGUAUCCUUCUAGCUCUCCAGUCAGGACUUCCUUAUGCCUCUAGUUUUAUGACCGGUUAAGGAGAAGCCAGAGUUAGAGUAGGAGAGGACUAAUUCUCAGCAGCAGUGGAGGUGAGUUCUUUCUUUUGCGGAAGCUUUACAUAUGUUUUGUGUAGUAGGAAUAACUAGAUAUUUUAGCUAGUGUGCGGUGUGUGUUCACCCCUGGGAUUGGACAGUGUAUCCUAACAAGUCCCAUGUCUGGUUCUGUGUCUAAAGGCCUGCUCCAUGACACAGGAUGCUACAUGCACUCCUGCUAGCACAUCUUGAUCUGUUGAAUGUUCAUUCUUUCUUUUUGCUCAUACUGCUGUAGGCUAUAAUUCCCCCCUGUUUUUCCAUCUUGUUGACAGCUUGUAGAGAAUAAAGCAGGAAUUCUUUUUAUAUCUGAGUCCUUAAUGAUCAGGAAAUGGAUUACAAACAAACAAAAACAGUUGCAAACAGCAAUUAAAGCAUUACUAGAGAAGCAGUAACAUGUCUGUUACCUACAGUCUGUUUGCUCAGAUUUUUAUAGAUUUCCACCAACAGCUGGAAAUGUAAUAUUUCCAUUCCAAGCUGUCUGACAGCUUGACUCUUCUUCCUACACUGGGCCAUUUAGAACCUUCAACCUUUAUGAAUUUCACUUAAUUUGCUUCAUUAUUAAGUAAUUGGUAGUUUCCAGAUUCCUGAAAUAUUUGAAUCCUUGAGUUUAAUGCCAAACACUUUUGGGGUGGUUUAGAUGAACUCUGACUCUAUUUUAUUUCAAGUAGGUGCUAUAUCCCGGCCAUAAACCCCUAUAGAAAAGCCAGAAAGUUGUGCUUCCUUUGAGGCUAUUAGGGGGCUCUGUGGUGUUUUAGGAUGGGUGUGGGUAACUCAUCUACCUAAACUUUUAAUUUCUUUACAACAUUCAGCAAGAGAGGGGGUCAGUAGUCUCUAUCUGCUAAUAAAUGAAGAAAGGAAGUAAACUCUGAAAAAUAAUAAACAUGUUUAUACUCUCAUUUUAGGUAUUAUUUUUAUUUCUGAAGCUGGAUGCUCAAAAAUUAAAACGUUUAUAAGUUUCUAAAUUAAACUUAAUUUAUAAAAGAAAAAA